UACGUAGGGUGCGAGCGUUGUCCGGAAUUAUUGGGCGUAAAGAGCUCGUAGGCGGUUUGUCACGUCUGCUGUGAAAUCCCGAGGCUCAACCUCGGGCCUGCAGUGGGUACGGGCAGACUGGAGUGCGGUAGGGGAGACUGGAAUUCCUGGUGUAGCGGUGAAAUGCGCAGAUAUCAGGAGGAACACCAGUGGCGAAGGCGGCACUCUGGGCCGGUACUGACGCUGAGGAGCGAAAGCGUGGGGAGCGAACAGG
rnacentral:rRNA from 1 species